rnacentral:tRNA from 1 species
GGCCUUAUAGUGUACAACAUAUCAGAUUGCAAAUCUGGAGAUGCGGGUAACCCCCGCUCAGGCCU